AAGGUUAAGCCUCACGGUUCAUUAGUACCGGUUAGCUCAACGCAUCGCUGCGCUUACACACCCGGCCUAUCAACGUCGUCGUCUUCAACGUUCCUUCAGGACUCUCAAGGAGUCAGGGAGAACUCAUCUCGGGGCAAGUUUCGUGCUUAGAUGCUUUCAGCACUUAUCUCUUCCGCAUUUAGCUACCGGGCAGUGCCAUUGGCAUGACAACCCGAACACCAGUGAUGCGUCCACUCCGGUCCUCUCGUACUAGGAGCAGCCCCCCUCAGUUCUCCAGCGCCCACGGCAGAUAGGGACCGAACUGUCUCACGACGUUCUAAACCCAGCUCGCGUACCACUUUAAAUGGCGAACAGCCAUACCCUUGGGACCUACUUCAGCCCCAGGAUGUGAUGAGCCGACAUCGAGGUGCCAAACACCGCCGUCGAUAUGAACUCUUGGGCGGUAUCAGCCUGUUAUCCCCGGAGUACCUUUUAUCCGUUGAGCGAUGGCCCUUCCAUUCAGAACCACCGGAUCACUAUGACCUGCUUUCGCACCUGCUCGCGCCGUCACGCUCGCAGUCAAGCUGGCUUAUGCCAUUGCACUAACCUCCUGAUGUCCGACCAGGAUUAGCCAACCUUCGUGCUCCUCCGUUACUCUUUAGGAGGAGACCGCCCCAGUCAAACUACCCACCAGACACUGUCCGCAACCCGGAUUACGGGUCCACGUUAGAACAUCAAACAUUAAAGGGUGGUAUUUCAAGGUCGGCUCCAUGCAGACUGGCGUCCACACUUCAAAGCCUCCCACCUAUCCUACACAUCAAGGCUCAAUGUUCAGUGUCAAGCUAUAGUAAAGGUUCACGGGGUCUUUCCGUCUUGCCGCGGGUACACUGCAUCUUCACAGCGAGUUCAAUUUCACUGAGUCUCGGGUGGAGACAGCCUGGCCAUCAUUACGCCAUUCGUGCAGGUCGGAACUUACCCGACAAGGAAUUUCGCUACCUUAGGACCGUUAUAGUUACGGCCGCCGUUUACCGGGGCUUCGAUCAAGAGCUUCGCUUGCGCUGACCCCAUCAAUUAACCUUCCGGCACCGGGCAGGCGUCACACCGUAUACGUCCACUUUCGUGUUUGCACAGUGCUGUGUUUUUAAUAAACAGUUGCAGCCAGCUGGUAUCUUCGACUGAUUUCAGCUCCAUCCGCGAGGGACUUCACCUACAUAUCAGCGUGCCUUCUCCCGAAGUUACGGCACCAUUUUGCCUAGUUCCUUCACCCGAGUUCUCUCAAGCGCCUUGGUAUUCUCUACCUGACCACCUGUGUCGGUUUGGGGUACGAUUUGAUGUUACCUGAUGCUUAGAGGCUUUUCCUGGAAGCAGGGCAUUUGUUGCUUCAGCACCGUAGUGCCUCGUCAUCACGCCUCAGCCUUGAUUUUCCGGAUUUGCCUGGAAAACCAGCCUACACGCUUAAACCGGGACAACCGUCGCCCGGCCAACAUAGCCUUCUCCGUCCCCCCUUCGCAGUAACACCAAGUACAGGAAUAUUAACCUGUUUCCCAUCGACUACGCCUUUCGGCCUCGCCUUAGGGGUCGACUCACCCUGCCCCGAUUAACGUUGGACAGGAACCCUUGGUCUUCCGGCGAGCGGGCUUUUCACCCGCUUUAUCGUUACUUAUGUCAGCAUUCGCACUUCUGAUACCUCCAGCAUGCCUCACAGCACACCUUCGCAGGCUUACAGAACGCUCCCCUACCCAACAACGCAUCAGCGUCGCUGCCGCAGCUUCGGUGCAUGGUUUAGCCCCGUUACAUCUUCCGCGCAGGCCGACUCGACCAGUGAGCUAUUACGCUUUCUUUAAAUGAUGGCUGCUUCUAAGCCAACAUCCUGGCUGUCUGGGCCUUCCCACAUCGUUUCCCACUUAACCAUGACUUUGGGACCUUAGCUGGCGGUCUGGGUUGUUUCCCUCUUCACGACGGACGUUAGCACCCGCCGUGUGUCUCCCGUGAUAACAUUCUCCGGUAUUCGCAGUUUGCAUCGGGUUGGUAAGUCGGGAUGACCCCCUUGCCGAAACAGUGCUCUACCCCCGGAGAUGAAUUCACGAGGCGCUACCUAAAUAGCUUUCGGGGAGAACCAGCUAUCUCCCGGUUUGAUUGGCCUUUCACCCCCAGCCACAAGUCAUCCGCUAAUUUUUCAACAUUAGUCGGUUCGGUCCUCCAGUUAGUGUUACCCAACCUUCAACCUGCCCAUGGCUAGAUCACCGGGUUUCGGGUCUAUACCCUGCAACUUAACGCCCAGUUAAGACUCGGUUUCCCUUCGGCUCCCCUAUUCGGUUAACCUUGCUACAGAAUAUAAGUCGCUGACCCAUUAUACAAAAGGUACGCAGUCACACGCCUAAGCGUGCUCCCACUGCUUGUACGUACACGGUUUCAGGUUCUUUUUCACUCCCCUCGCCGGGGUUCUUUUCGCCUUUCCCUCACGGUACUGGUUCACUAUCGGUCAGUCAGGAGUAUUUAGCCUUGGAGGAUGGUCCCCCCAUAUUCAGACAGGAUACCACGUGUCCCGCCCUACUCAUCGAGCUCACAGCAUGUGCAUUUUUGUGUACGGGGCUGUCACCCUGUAUCGCGCGCCUUUCCAGACGCUUCCACUAACACACACUGAUUCAGGCUCUGGGCUGCUCCCCGUUCGCUCGCCGCUACUGGGGGAAUCUCGGUUGAUUUCUUUUCCUCGGGGUACUUAGAUGUUUCAGUUCCCCCGGUUCGCCUCAUUAACCCAUGGAUUCAGUUAAUGAUAGUGUGACGAAUCACACUGGGUUUCCCCAUUCGGAAAUCGCCGGUUAUAACGGUUCAUAUCACCUUACCGACGCUUAUCGCAGAUUAGCACGUCCUUCAUCGCCUCUGACUGCCAGGGCAUCCACCGUGUACGCUUAGUCGCUUAA
rnacentral:rRNA from 1 species